rnacentral:rRNA from 1 species
CCAAUAGCGUAUAUUAAAGUUGUUGCAGUUAAAAAGCUCGUAGUUGAAUUUCGGAAUCUGUCCGUCGGUCGGGCUUCACUGUCCGUACUGGUGUGGUGGGUUCUUACCUUCUGAAUAACCAGCAUGCCAUUCACUUGGUGCGCUGGGGAAGCAGGACUAUUACCUUGAAAAAAUUAGAGUGCUCAAAGCAGGCUAGUGCCUGAAUACAUUAGCAUGGAAUAAUAAAAUAGGACGGCAUGGUUCUAUUUUGUUGGUUUCUAGGAUCACCGUAAUGAUUAAUAGGGAUAGUUGGGGGAAUUAGUAUUCAAUUGUCAGAGGUGAAAUUCUUGGAUUUAUUGAAGACUAACUUCUGCGAAAGCAUUUGCCAAGGAUGUUUUCAUUAAUCAAGAACGAAAGUUAGGGGAUCGAAGACGAUCAGAUACCGUCGUAGUCUUAACCAUAAACUAUGCCGACUAGGGAUCGGACGAUGUUAAUUUUUUAAUGACUCGUUCGGCGCCUUACG